UACAGAGGAGCCAAGCGUUGUCCGGAUUGACUGGGCGUAAAGCGCACGCAGGCGGCUGCGCGCGUGGGGUGUGAAAUCUGGCCGCUUAACGGCCAGGCGCCAUCCCAUACGGCGCGGCUGGAGUGAUGCAGAGGUCGGUGGAAUUGCCGGUGUAGUGGUGAAAUGCGUAGAGAUCGGCAGGAACACCCAGGGGGAAACCAGUCGACUGGGCAUCUACUGACGCUGAGGUGCGAGAGCGUGGGGAGCGAACCGG
rnacentral:rRNA from 1 species